UGGUGGGUAGUUUGACUGGGGCGGUCUCCUCCUAAAGAGUAACGGAGGAGCACGAAGGUUGGCUAAUCCUGGUCGGACAUCAGGAGGUUAGUGCAAUGGCAUAAGCCAGCUUGACUGCGAGCGUGACGGCGCGAGCAGGUGCGAAAGCAGGUCAUAGUGAUCCGGUGGUUCUGAAUGGAAGGGCCAUCGCUCAACGGAUAAAAGGUACUCCGGGGAUAACAGGCUGAUACCGCCCAAGAGUUCAUAUCGACGGCGGUGUUUGGCACCUCGAUGUCGGCUCAUCACAUCCUGGGGCUGAAGUAGGUCCCAAGGGUAUGGCUGUUCGCCAUUUAAAGUGGUACGCGAGCUGGGUUUAGAACGUCGUGAGACAGUUCGGUCCCUAUCUGCCGUGGGCGCUGGAGAACUGAGGGGGGCUGCUCCUAGUACGAGAGGACCGGAGUGGACGCAUCACUGGUGUUCGGGUUGUCAUGCCAAUGGCACUGCCCGGUAGCUAAAUGCGGAAGAGAUAAGUGCUGAAAGCAUCUAAGCACGAAACUUGCCCCGAGAUGAGUUCUCCCUGACUCCUUGAGAGUCCUGAAGGAACGUUGAAGACGACGACGUUGAUAGGCCGGGUGUGUAAGCGCAGCGAUGCGUUGAGCUAACCGGUA
rnacentral:rRNA from 1 species